AUUGAACGCUGGCGGCAGGCCUAACACAUGCCAGUCGAGCGAGCGGCGGACGGGUGAGUAAUGUAUGGGGACUGCCCGAUAGAGGGGGAUAACUACUGGAAACGGUAGCUCAUACCGCAUACUAUCGGAUAACCCAUAUGGGAUUAGCUAGUAGGUGAGGUAAUGGCUCACCUAGGCGACGAUCCCUAGCUGGCCUGAGAGGAUGAGCAGCCCCACUGGGACUGAGACCCGGCCCAGACUCCUACGGAGGCAGCAGUGGGGAAUAGUGCACAAUGGGCUCAAGCCUGAUGCAGCCAUGCCGCGUGUAUGAAGAAGGCCCGAGGGUUGUAAAGUACUUUCAGUCGGGAGGCGUUACCGACAGAAGAAGCACCGGCUAACUCCGUGCCAGCAGCCGCGGUAAUUC
rnacentral:rRNA from 1 species